UUCAUCUCCUCUUCGGCUCAACCCUAUUUUCACUUUUCUCCAAGCCACAAUCCUCUUUUUCCUUCUCUUACUAAUCUUCGUUAUCAAUGCCCUCAUCUUGCACCUCCCAUAUAGCUGCAUGAUGUGCUUCUCGGAAGAGCUCCGGGCCGAGAGCAUAUCCAUGGCCAAAUGCCGCAUCGUCUCCGGUACUGAUUCGUUUAGGCGGUUUCCACCUCCAAGCAUCAAUCGGCUUCUCCGUUCCUUCUCUUACUUCUUUUGGUUUGAGGCAGUUCAUGGAUGUCGACAAUGAAUUAGGAUCACAUGUCACAACCAAUGAACUUGUAGUUAAGUUUGUUAAAGCAGGUCUAGGAGGAGGUUUAAUGGCAGAUCUAGGAGGAUGUUUAAUGGCAGAUGUUUUUUGUGAUGUUUUUAA